AGACAUGGGCAACGUGGGUCAAGGUGUAACAUUUGUUCUUAUCAGCUUAAAAUCUGAUACGAGUUUUAUUUGGACCCAAGACAUUAAACUUAUUUUUGCAAGGUUGUGGGAGUGCUCCAAGCCUGCUUCACCUUUGCUGCGGGUCGGCCGGGUAUUUCGCUAUCUCUGGUGUUGGUCCGCGGUUU